rnacentral:rRNA from 1 species
GACGAACGCUGGCGGCGUGCUUAACACAUGCAAGUCGAACGGCAAGGCCCUGCUUUCGUGGGGUGCUCGGGUGGCGAACGGGUGAGUAACCCGUGAGUACCCUGCCCUUGACUUUGGGGUAACUUCAGGAAACCGGGUCUCAUACCGGAUCUGAGCUCCUGCUGCAUGGUGGGCGUGGGAAAGUUCAGGCGGAUGGGGCUGUACUUGCGGGUUAUCAGCUUGUUGGAGGGGUAGUGGCUUACCAAGGGUUGGACGGGUUGCCGGCCUGGGAGGGUGCCCGGGGACCUGGGGACUGAGGUAGGGAGCAGACGCGAACGGGGGGCAGCGGUGGGGAAUAUUGCACAACGAGCGGAAGCGUGAUGCAGCAACGCCGGGUGCGUGAAGACGGCCUGCGGGUUGUAAACCGCUUGCGCCUGAGACGAAGCGUGAGUGACGGUAAUGGGUAAAGAAGCACCGGCUAACUACGUG